AGUUUCAUCCAAUCCUCAAAAGGCUCCAGGACCCUAAUCAGGUUAGGAACCUCUACUGCUUUAAGGCUCCAGUCCCAAGAUAGAAGAGAAAGGCCAAGGUCUGACCCUGCCCGGGAAGUGUGUUUUUUAAUGAGGCACUCUGGAAGACCAGUGUCCUAUUAAGAAUCAAAGGAAUGCAUCCUGGAGGGCACACUCUAGACCUUGGCACACACAGAAAAAUAUCUGGGGGCAGAGUCCAGCCUGCCAUUUCUCCAGUCACACGGACAACCAUCCUGUCUGGGCCCAGGUGGUGGGUGCCCUGAGAAAGAAUUACUUUAUUAUUAUUAUUUUCUUCCCUCAGAAGGAAGGGUUGGACCAAAACACCAGACUGUCCUCAUCGGGUGCUCCUCUCUGGGUUGGGUGGGUGAGCCCUGGAAUCCUGUAGGACACCCCUAAGGGGAGCCUUCCCUCCUGAGAGGAGACCGGGGUGCUGGGAUCUAUGAGGAGUGAAGGUGGAGGUAGGAGAUGGUUCUUGGUGACUGAGGCUGGCCUGGUCCCGACCUGUGCUCCUGGACUGGCCGAUGCCCUGGGGCUGGGGCUGGGUGUGGCCCCGCGGUAGGGAGGUGGGGGAGGGGAGAUGACAUUGCCUCCCAACGUGUGGGUAACGCUUGGGGUGCAGGGUCCCUGUGGACAGGCGGACGGGUGGGUCCCGCGGCCCCACAGCGACACCAUGUGUCAUCAAGAGGAAACUGCAACAGAGGUAGGCGUAGGACCCCAGCUUCCUCCCCCACAGCGUGCAGACCUGAACUGCACUCCUGGGUGAACUCUGGUAGGUCUCGAGCAAUGAAAGGGCUGGGGAGCCUGAAAGAGGAGUGAGAGGGCUACUAGUUAAUGAGCCAGGCAGGGUUUCUAGCAAUUGAUUGGGAAGGAUUUGGCCAUGAGCACGGAUCUGCCUGGCGCUCUGCGGGAAAGUAGGACCGGUGGUGUUGGGGGAGGCAGAGGCAACGCGGCUCUGGGAAGGCUGUGAAGGGAAGGCUGGGAAAGGAGGAGAGCUUCUAGUCUCUCCAACAGGAGAACUUGGUCAGUGAAGGAGGAGCACUGGACAGGGAGUCCAGGAUCUGGUCCUAGCCUUACACCUGACCAGCGUUUACUCCGGGGCAGCCAUGUGUGGAUUAACCUCAUGGGUCUCUCUAGAGUUCUGUGGGUCCCAGACACAGAUGUGGAGGGGUCACGCUGGGAGUGGUCAAGCUGUUGGUGAGAAAAAUGAGGCCGAGAAUGAGUAGCCUGGGCUCUGAGGCAGAGACUGAUACCUGGCAGGACCACACUUUCCCAUGUCUCUUGCAGUUAAGUGUCACCACAUGACUUAGCUCUGGCAGAGGCAAUGUGGGCAGAAGCGGAGUCACGUUCAGGCCUGCUGCUAAUCAGAACCACCCGUUUUGGGGGCUCCUGGGUGGCUCAGCCGGUUAAACGUCCGACUUCGGCUCAGGUCAUGAUCUCGCGGUUUGUGAUUUCGAGCCCCGCGUCGGGCUCUGUGCUGACGGCUCGGAGCCUAGAGCCUGCUUCGGAUUCUGGGUCUCCCUCUCUCUCUGCCCCUCCCCUGCUCGUGCUCUCUCUCUUUCUCUCUCUGUC